AUGUUACAAUGUUUUUCUAGACUAUGUGCUGAGUUUCUUAAUACUGGUUAUGGGUACUUGCGUUUCUUUUUGUCAGAUUUCUAUCUCCAGAUGAUGUUGUUAAUUUUGUUGUUUGAAAAGACCACACACCCCAUUUACUUGGCACUGGCCAAGCUGUUUUCAGGUUUGAGCUGGAAUACAAACUCUAUCAAUCAGUGUUGGCAACAGCUGCAUUUGACAAGUCCCUGUCCGCCAGGCUUAAGCCCUCCAACUGUCUGUGGAGACUCCUCCCCGUCUGCCACCUCACUCCUCGCCCAGCCACGCUCUGCGGCCUCACCCGCUGCUUCCUGCUGGUUGAUGUCUAUACAGACGUGGACAGACUGAGUUCUUCAGGCAUGUCAGGCUGUUUCACAUACACAAGAUUAAGUAGCAAAAGUGACAUCCAAGACCAAUCGGGCCACCCAGGAGAACUGCAACCAGCGGAAAGGCUGUCAGAGCCCCCCUUUACACCAUUAAUCUUCAAGCUUCUCCUGUGCUGCCAACUCGCAUCUCCUUCAAACGGGACAGGAGAGUGAGAGAGGGAGGGAAAUGGAGAAAAGUAAAGCCACUCUGUUUUUCUCCUUUUGCUUUCCCA
rnacentral:lncRNA from 1 species